CGCACAUUGCGCCCCUUGGUAUUCCAUGGGGCAUGCCUGUUCGAGCGUCAUCUACAACCCUCAAGCCCCUGGCUUGGUGUUGGGUGUCUGUCACGCCUCCGCGCGGAGACUCGCCCCAAAUUCAUUGGCGGCGGCCCUUGCCUCCCUCUCGCGCAGCACAUUGCGCUUCUCGAGGCGUCGCGGGCCGCGCUCCACGAAGCACGCAAACCAGUCUUUGACCUCGGAUCAGGUAGGGAUACCCGCUGAACUUAA
rnacentral:misc_RNA from 1 species